rnacentral:rRNA from 1 species
UGGGGGAUAUUGCACAAUGGGGGGAAACCCUGAUGCAGCGACGCCGCGUGAGUGAAGAAGUAUUUCGGUAUGUAAAGCUCUGUCAGCAGGAAAGAUAAUGACGGUACCUGACUAAGAAGCACCGGCUAAAUACGUGCCAGCAGCCGCGGUAAUACGUAUGGUGCAAGCGUUAUCCGGAUUUACUGGGUGUAAAGGGAGCGCAGACGGCAUGGCAAGCCAGAUGUGAAAGGUGGGGGCUCAACCCCCAAGCUGCAUUUGGAACUGUCAAGCUAGAGUAUCGGAGAGGUAAGUGGAAUUCCUAGUGUGGCGGUGAAAUGCGUAGA